rnacentral:lncRNA from 1 species
UUUUUCUUGUGUGCACGUGCACGCUCUCUCAAGUCAUUGCAUUGCCACCAAGAUGGUUGAUGGGGUGUAGAGUUCGAUUGCAUGUGGCUAUAAUGGAAAAUCUUGAAUUAUUGAAUUUUAAUGGUUAAUUGUGAUAUGUUAGCAAUCUAUAAUGGUAUCUUGAUCGGUGUCACAAAGUCUAAACGGGUCGAGAGAAUGCUUAGCCAAAUAAAAAUUAAAAUGAUAGGAAAGAGGACAUAGCUUGGUUUUCUUUGCUGGAGUUCUUCAAAUUUUAUGUUUAAUUCUAAAAUUACGGGACCAGCAACUUUAAGAUCUGUAAUGAGUGACGACCGAUGGCCAUGGAUAAAUGUAAGGCUCGUGAUUCAAGCAAAAAUGUAGUUAGGGAUAUCUUGAGAAUUGAAAAUUUGGGAAGUCAAUAUAUUUUACAUAAUAGUAAGAUGAAUGUGUCGAUCUCAAAUGAAUGUUACACUUUGCUCCAACAUAUACUAAUAAUAAAUUCAUAUUGAAUUAUUGAUGAGAUAUGGAUUCGUCAACUUGUGACUAACCAGACCAUCCAACCAGACUAGCUGACUAAUAAUAGCGAUCAAGUCGGCCGACCAGUAAUAAUGAACCAAGUGUCCUUGAUUGGAAGCAUAUUGAAGAUGAUUAAAACCCAUUAAGAGGGGCAAUUACAACUCCGCACACUCAUGAGAUGCUUGUUGGGACGGUUACAGCUCAUUUCGCAUGCCGGACAACUAUUGCAUAUCUAAACGAUUAUCACACGUUUGAUAGUUAUAGUAUGCCCACUCUUUUAAGAUAAUGACUUUAUGCCCAUUCUCCAAUAUAUAGAGGGACCGAGGAACCUCUGGUUGCAUUUUUCUCUCUCUCUAACUCUAUUCUAUAUAGCUCUUUCAGAUCUUCCUUUUUUUUUUUUCAAACCUCAGUCUGACUUUGGCACCAGAAAAUCUUCAGCCGAAUUAAGUCCGUCAGCCUUCGGUGCUCUCUCUCCUAUUUAGGUCCGAGCAGAAGCCAUCCACUUGCAAUUAUUGACCAAUUCUUCCAACUCCCAUCUCAUCGGAUUUUGCACGCAUCAUCCAAAAAUUAGUACAUUGGUACUUUUGCCAAUAGUCACGGGGGCUUGGAUAGAAUGGCUCAACAAAAUCCACAACGAAUUAUAUCGGCCGAAGGAGUCUAAUUUUACAAUUAUAAGAAUACAACCAUUCUUUUAGCAAAAAUCUUCGUGAAUCAAAUAAAAAAAAAAAAAAAAAA